UCUCUGAGUUCUAAUAAACAGAGGGGGCUGUGGUGGUGGCACCUACCUGUAUUGUCAGCACUUGGGAGGCUGAGGCAGGAGGAU
rnacentral:miRNA from 1 species